GGUGCCACCGCGCCGGUGCGGCAGCGAAGGGACCGUGUUUGUCACCACAGUGCUGCUGGGGACGCCGAGUGCCGGGGACGUCGUGUAUUCCACUGUCACCAUCACAGAGCAGCGAGGGGGUGCGUCCCCCUCCCCCUGUGGCCUCGCUGCCCCCCAGGAGUCCCCUGUCACCUACGCAGCACUGCCCGGCCCCCGGGGGCUGCAGCGUCUCCCCAGUGACAGCUACGAGAACGUCCCCUGCGCGUGACACCGGGUGUGUGUGUGUGUGUGUGUAAAUAACUGAAAUAAACCCGUCCAUAAAUCCCUU